GCUCAAGGACAGCUCCCAGGCCUUGAAUCAAGCGCCAGGACUGACUGGCACACACAAAAAAAAGUACUGCUGAUUAAAAAUAGUAUUGCUAGGAACGGUGGCACAUAUGUAUGACCCCAACACUAAAGAAGUCUCAGACAGGAUGAUUACAAAUUAGAGACCACCUUAGGAUAUAUAGUGAGACUUUCUCUCAAAAAACAGAAAAA